UCGUGAAGCCAAAUUUUGGAACAGAUCCACCUUAAUUGUUCUUCCGUUUCCAAACGAUUCUCAAUCAAUCAACCAAUUUCAUUCGCCAAUAAUUUCCAGAACCGUAAAUUCAGAAUUUCAAGGAGAACCGCACAACUAUUUUACUGAUAUUCAGCUGCACCGUUAAAUUGAUUAAGUGCAAAACUUCAAUUGCUAUGCUCACUGAAUAUAUCAAGCGUGUAAACUGUUUGUUAGAAAGCUUCAAAGAAAUUUUAAUUUGUAGAAAAUACAAGAAUUGAUUCUAAUCAGAAUUUUUUUUGAAACAUCUUUAUCAAAUGAAUUAAACUUUCAAACUCAGUGUAAUGCCGAAUUCAUCUGAUUUUUCAUAUGUAUGAAUUGUACCUUUUAAUCACGAAUAAACAAUUCCAGCAAAUGCUCAAUCGGUACAUCAGCAGAAAUUCUUCAGCGCCUUUCAAAUCGCGAUUCACUCAUUCGUCACUGCUUUGCUUCAUCAAAUUAAACCCGAUCAAGAUCAAUGUUUUGCUUCGAAAUCAACAUCUACUUCAGUCAUCUUCAACAUUUCGCCAGAAUGUGAAACUUAAUCCGCGAACGAUUAUAAUUCCUUUGAGAAUGCUCUUCGUUUGAGAUGACGAAGUUAAUCGGUCAGUUCUCCGUGCACUGAUUCUGUUUGUCGGAAAACCACUAAAACCUAUGUUCGCGAUUCUUCCAACACCUCAAUGUUUCUCCGUUUUGCUUCUUCACAGUUGCUCCAGGAAAACGAAGAACAAUGAACGCAAAAGGCAGAACCAAAAUUUUCGGAAUCGGAAUUGAAAGCAGAAGAAGAACUUACAUGAACCAAUUCCGACUAAGCACGAAAGGAACCGAAACUUUAGAUUCUGUUUUCUGACUUCCUAUUCCAGAUUCAAAUUCUCCUCCGGCGCCGUUCGCAGUUGAAGACGAAAUCAUACUCCCGAAGUCUUGUAGUGCGAAAACUGUGGAAGCGUCGCGCACCAAUUUCACUCACACUGGACUUGUUCCGAUUCCAAUUUCAUGAACACUCAGAAGAUGAAGAACAGCAACACAAAUCGCAGAGAAAAUUUGAGGAAAAUCUGAAAAUCUAAACCAAAUCUGCUAUUGGCAGCGCAGAUCCAACAAUUUUCAUAAACAGUUCACAUUACUGCUCACACCACUUGAUUUUCUUUUUGAACCACGAAAAAUUUUCGGACAAAUUUCGAGAACUUUCGAAAAUGAUUUUUGAAGAGAAUGAUAAUGGAAAGCUAACUCAAAGAAAAUUGUUGAUGAUCUAGUAGCAAUUUAUG
rnacentral:lncRNA from 1 species